GAUGAACGCUGGCGGCGUGCUUAACACAUGCAAGUCGAACGGAAAGGCUCCUGCUUGCAGGGGUACUGGAGUGGCGAACGGGUGAGUAACACGUGGGUAACCUGCCCUGCACUUCGGGAUAAGCCUGGGAAACUGGGUCUAAUACCGGAUAGGACGAUGGUUUGGAUGGCAUUGUGGAGAGUUUUUCGGUGUGGGAUGAGCUAGAGGCCUAUCAGCUUGUUGGUGGAGUAAGGGUCUACGAAGGGAGCGACGGGUAGCCGGCCUGAGAGGAGGGACGCGGACAUGGGGACUAAGAGAGGCAGCAGAGUGGUACGGGCGGCAAUGGUGGGAAAUAUGACACAAUGAGCGCACGCCGGAGGCAGAGGCGUCGGGUUGGUAAUGACGGCCUUCGGGUUGUGAACUGCUGUCGCUAGGGACGAAGCUGAAGUGACGGUACCUGGAGAAGAAGCACCGGCUAACUACGUG
rnacentral:rRNA from 1 species